rnacentral:lncRNA from 1 species
CAGAGUCUCACUGUCUCCCAGGUUGGAGUACAGUGGCACGAUCUUGGCUGACUGCAACCUCUGCCUCCCAGGUUCAAGCAAUUCUCCUGCCUCAGCCUCCCAAGUAGCUGGGAUUAGAGGUGCAUGCCACCAUGCCUGGCUAAUUUUUGUGUUUUAGUAGAGACGGGGUUUCAUCAUAUUGGCCAGGCUGGUCUCGAACUCCUGACCUCAGGUGAUCUGCCCACCUUGGCCUCCCAAAGUGCUGGGAUUACAGGCGUGAGCCACCGUGCCUGGCUGAUGUUCUUUUUCAUGGUUGCAUUGUAUUCCAUGGUGUAUAUGUACCACAUUUUCCUUAGCCAGUCUCCUAUUGAUGUGCAUAUCAGUUUAUUAAUUUUCUUUUAAAGAACAGAUAAAUUUAUAAUGUAAAUUUUUAUUUGCCUUUAUGGUAACCUGCGACAUUGGAAGGGGAUUAUUGACCAUCUAUAUAGUCAUAAUCUCUUUCCUCUAAAUCUGCAAAAUAUAAUGGAACUCCAUCUUAUGUAUUUCAAAACUGAUUAAUGAAUUGACUGAUAUUUUCAAAAAUGGACAAUUGGGAGAUACUUUAACUCUGGCAUAUCACAUUCACUCAGCCAGUGAAAUGAUUUUCUUCAGUAUAUUAAAUAUUAUAUUUAAUUGUGAAUAUGUUUGAUAAACUCAGAGUUUAAAAUAAACCUCUCAAGCUUUGGUUUUUGUGUAUAGUGACAAAGAUCAGUGUGAUUUGCAGAGGUUGGAAAUGAAAAUCAAAGACAAAUUCUAGAAAAAAAAUAACACAAAGUAACCCUAAAUGAAGCCAUGUAGCAAAUGGAAGGAAAUAUAAAAUGACAUAAUGACAAUAUGCAAGGAUGAAAAGAUAAGAAAAUUCAUUAACAUUACAAUGAGAUAUAAGUAAAGAAAGACCAUUCAGAGUUAACUAGCAGAAUAAAGGAUUUGGCAGCCCUCUUUGUAAUUCUACCAUGACGAUUUCCAAACCACUGAAUAAGGUUUUGUAUUUCUAAUUAGCUAAGUACUAGAAAUAUGUUCUCUAAUGUGACUCAUAUGGAUAUGUGGCAUAUGGACAAAAAAAUUCUGUGGUACUCAAGCUUAAUAUAGAUUAAGUACAUGUUGUUUGAGACAUAAAUUAUGAGAAGUUUUUCCGAUACAAUAUUGUAAUUUACUUGAAUGGCAUCUCUAGAACUUCAGACAGGUGUGAUAGAAUACGCUGCAGAGAUAUUUAUGUGUUUGAUCAGGGUUUUUCUUUUUCUUUUUUUAAGACAGAGUCUCACUCUGUUGCCCAGGCUGGAGUGCAGUGGCACUAUCUCAGCUCCAACCUCUGCCUCCCAAGUUCAGGCGAUUCUCCUGCCUCAGCCUCCCAAAUAGCUGGGAUUACAAGUGCCCACCACUACGCCCGGCUAAUGUUGUAUUUUUAGUAGAGAUGAGGUUUCACCAUGUUGGCCAGGCUGGUCUCGAACUCCUAACCUCCAGUGAUCCACCCACCUCAGCCUCCCAAAGUUUUGUAAUUACGGGCGUGAGCCACCACACCAGGCCAGGGUUUUUCCUUUGCUAACUCUAGGCUAGCUUUCACAGUCCUUGACCAAUACUAGGUCCUUGAGCGAACCCCAAACAAUCAUCACCAGGCACACUUUGAUAUGAUUGCUAAAACUGGAGUCUGACCUGGAUAGAAAGGCUAAUGAUAACCGUAAUGAUUGCUUUCAUAUAUUGAGUGCCUAUGACAUAUGAAAGCAAUCAUUAUGUACUGCCCAUGGGUUAACUUAUUUAAUCCUCACGACAGCCCGGUUUGACAUAUGAAGAAACUGAGGCACAGAGAAGGUAAGUAGCUUACUCAAGUUUAUCUAGCCAAGAAGUGGCAGACCUGAACACAGGACUUCUGGCUCCAGUCCCCGAACUCUAAACCUCACCGUGCUGUAGUACUUUAUAUGCCAUAGUAAUUUUGUGCUACCAUUGGAGAUGUCCCCAAAUCUCUUUGGCAUUGUUAUCAUGAUGUUUGUCUCUUUGGUCUACUUUUUUCCUAUUCUGAUGCAGCAACAGGACCCAUUUUGAUUCAGAGAAUAUGGUGCCCUUAAUGAAUCAUCAAGAAGUCCAUAGACAGUUUUAGGGGUUUUCUGUGGAGAUCUCAUUUCUUAAUUCUGACUCAACCCACCAGAAUGAAUGGAUAAUUAUGGCAUUUGAAUCUUGCAUAUGAUUAAGUGAAUAAAAAUGCUUUGCCCCAUUUGCUAGUAGAAAAGAAAUAAAACCACAUUUUUGGAAUGCAAUACUUAUAUCAGUUAAAAACAACUUCUCCCUAUACUUACCAUCUAUUAGUUUGAUUUUUAGGGAGAUUUAUUAACAUUUUAGUCCUUCAUGGUAGUACUAUUGUGCAAUCCAAGAAUUAUGGGGGAGUUUUUGGAAAUGAGAGGAGGCUCAGGGAAUUAUAGGCAACCAAGAUUCUCAAGGCCAAACCCAACAGCGAUACUGAUAAUACAUGUGUGCUUACUAUCCAGUUUUUAAAUUUUCUCAUGCAAUACUAAUCUCAUUGCUUUUGUAUGUCAGAUUUUAAAAUAGAGCAUGCUUAAUAUACUUCAGAUGUCUGCAAGGGGAACAGCAGCAAAUACCACAGUCCCAUGGUAAAUAUAAGGGAAAAACAAAGGCAUAUAUGUGUUAACAAGUCUGAUGAAUGGCUCAUGCCUGUAAUCGCAGCACUUUGGGAGGCCGAGGUGAGAGGAUCAUGAGGUCAGGUGUUCGAGACCAGCCUGGCCAACAUGGUGAAACCCCGUCUCUACUAAAAAUACAAAAAUUAGCAGGGCGUGGUGGCAGGCACCUGUAAUCCCAGUUACUCGGGAGGCUGAGGCAGGAGAGUCACUUGAAACCAGAAGGUGGAGGUUGCAGUGAGCUGAGGUCACACCACUGCACUCCAGCCUGGGCAACAAGAGCAAAACUCCAUCUCAACAGCAACAACAACAUCAAUAACAGCAAAGCCUGAUGAAAUCCUAACUCAGCAGUGGCGCAAUUACUUCAUAGAUUGGAUUAUUUUGAAAAGAAGCAGCAAACCCCAUUUGGUGGAUGUAUUUUGAGUCUUUUUUUUUUUUCUGAGACAGGAGCUUGCAAUACCACCCAGGCUAGAAUACAGUGACUCCAUCACAGCUCACUGUAGCCUCGACCUCCUGGGCUCAGGCAAUCCUCUUACCUCAGCCUCUUGAGCAGCUGGGACUACAGGCACAUGCCACCAUGCCCAGAUAAUUUUCUUAAAAUAUAUUUUGUAGAGACAGGGUUUUGCCGUGUUGUCAGGCUAGUCGCAAGCUCCCGAGCUCAAGUGACCCCUCCUUGGCCUACCCAAAGUGCUGGGAUUACAGGCAUCAGCCACUGCGCCUGCGCGGCCUGCGUUUUGAAUCUUUAGGUGAGCAGGCUCCCUGCUAGGUGCUAAGGACGCAGAAAUGAAUACCACCCCUCCCUUCCUCUCAGAGGGCUCCCAAUCUGCUCCUCUUUUCUCUGUUAAAUAUUUUGCCUUUGAGUCUUGCAUAAUGAUGUGGCCACAUUGAGACCUAGUUGAACAGUUUCACAAUAACUCCCUUAAGUCAGAGGGCCUUGGUGAAAUAACAUUGACUUUUACUCUGAAAUCCAUGGAAAUACAAAAUUUACUGUUUUGUUCUCCUUGAUAAAAUAUAGCAUAAUAACUAGUUGCUGGGUUACUACCUAAAACACAGGCCCCAAACUACAGCCAGGAAGGGCAGUUAGCAAUUAAGUAAAGGAAAUGACUAUGACUAGUGGGUCUGAAACCCAACACACUGCCCAUAUCCUUCUUAGCAUAGGGAGGCAUUGAUGUUACUUAGGCAACUUUUAUCACUAAGGAAGUAGUUUUGGUGACUCAUGCUCAUAACAGAAUGACUUAUUUCAAGACCUGAGUGUUCAGUAACCUUACCAUUAUGCUUCUGUUUUCUUUUUUUUUGGACUCAGACAGCAAAGCUCCCUUUGGAUGACAUAGAUUUAUUACUUAGUAGUAUAUUAUGUAUUGGCUGUCCCACAUUUUGAAAUUUAAUGGACUCGUGGUGAUCAGAAUAAAAGAAGCCUUCGAUGUGAGGCCCAGGCAUUGAGUACCAUGUGUGCGAUUCACAAGCCUUGGCAUCUGAACAAUUUUUUGGAAGGAUCCAUCAGGACAACACGUCGGGGGUGUACUAGUGAAGUGAUUUUCCAAAUGUGCUACUCAGACCUGUAGCAUCAGCAUCACCGGAUAAUUUGUUAGAAAUUCCAACUGUUAGGCCCCACUUUAGACCAACUGAAUGUGAAACUCUGGGAGUACGUGGGGCCCAGCAAUUUGUGUUUUUACAAGACUUACCAGGUGAUUCUGAGAACCACUGUGCUAGUGAAUUGUUCCUGUCUGUGGCCACGUAGAAUAAGAAAACCAUAGGGUUGGAAAAUGGGGAAACUGGUGAGUGUUCGCUUAUGAGGAAAUGAAGAAUAGAUAGAAAAGAAUUAGUUAACUUUUGGAAUUCAAAAGAGAAGCAGUUUGUAAAAGCCAGGAAUUUGAUUUGAAGGACUAAUUGCUUGCAGAAUCUUUGCUUUCUCAGAGAGGGGCAAUCCAGAUCACUAGGUUACCGUGAAAUAUGUUGGUAUGGCUCUAAAAUUCUAGAAUAAUCUCUCUAGUGAGAAAAGGCAUACCUUUCCAUAUUAGGACAAAACUUCAAAUCAGGUUUGUAAAAUCCUAUAAGAUUAUUGUAUCCCAUUGCCAUGGCCAACUUGUUUGUCUCUGGAGAUCCCAGUUUCUACAUCUGAAAACCAUAUGCAUUCCUGCUCACCAGGAAUUAUCUCGCUGAAUGAAGCAAGAGAUUCAGGAUGUGUAAGAGAAUUUAUGAAGCAUUUGGAUUACCAAGAAAUGUGAAGUAUAAAGAUCAAGAAUGAUUAUUACAAACACUGAUGGUAAAGAGGUGUUUCGAAGUCGAUGCAAAAAAUGAGUUGCUUAUUUCAGUCUCUCUUUGAUAUAUCUGCCUUUUUAGUGCUGACUCUAUCAUGUAUUCACUAUUUGAUUUUCAGUGAAUCACAUUUUUUAAAGCUUUUAAUCUGUUUCCUCAAAAAAUAUAUUUUUUAAAAAUAUUUACUCAGGAUUGUUGUGAGAAUAAAAUUGAUUCGAUUGAUAUUUCAAAAAAGAAAUAUAUUUUUAAAAAAUAAAGCAAUACCAUUUUUGGAUAUGCUAGUGCUCUGACUGUUAUUUUAUGUCUGGGUUGAGGAAUCCUAAAGGACUGUUGACAUAAUGACAUCAUCCAGGGGUUUGGAAUAAGAGUAUACAUCAGCAAGUUUUCUGAUUACAAAAAGUAGCUAUGUUUACUUUUCUGUUAAUUCUCCUUCAGUGGAAUGUUUCAAUUUUCUCAUGAGAUGGGGGAGAUCCAUUUUUUUGAGAGCUCUGUUUUAUUAAAGAAAGCAAGUCUGGUGGCUCAUGCCUAUAAUUUUAGCACUUCAAGAUGCUGAAGUGGGAGGAUCACCUGAGCUCAGGAAUUCAAGACCAGCCUGGGCAACAUAGCAAAAACCUAUCUCUAUGAAAAAUUUUUAAAAAUUAGCUGGGCAUGGUGUUGCAUGCCUGUAGUACCAGUCACUCAGGAGGCUGAGGUGGGAGGAUCACUUAAGCCCUGGAGGACUAGGCUGCAGUGAGCAGUAAGCUAUGAUCAUGCCACUGCACUCCGGUCUGGAAGACAGAGUUUGUUUAAAAAAAAAGGCAAAUUUGAUACUUUGUGUCCUUUGAACUGAGAAAAUACAUUUCAUUCAUUCUUUCAGGGAAAAAAAGUGGGACUCUGGAGUCAGAGUCCCCAAGGUAAAUUUCUCAGCUCCUAUGCUUAGUAAUUAUGCUACCUUGGAAGAGCCUCAUUUUCUUGAUAUAAAAAAUGGAGGUGAUAAUAACAGUUGUAUGUGCAUGAAAUGAGAAAUGUAUAUAAAAUACAUAAUCGAUUGUCUGGCCUAGAGUAAAUCCUCAAUAAGUGUUGAUGGUUGGUGAUGAUAUUAUUAAACUAUGGCAUAAAGAGGAGAAAAAAGAACCUGUGUCCAAAAACCAAGGGCAGGAAGGAAUAAGAAGACAAGAGAGCAGUUGAUAAACGAUCAUUUUACAAAUGAAAAUUUGUGCAGCUCCUGUGACUUUUCCAGUCAUUUAUUAAAACCAAACCAUUCUUUGAUCACUUCUAAGGAGAAAAGUGAUCAUAGUAAUUUACAACGCUUACAUGUAUGUAACUUUCAAAAUUUCAAUCUUGCCCAAGAGUUAAUAUCCUCCCUCCCAUGGCUUGACUGUGCCUUAGGAAAGGGAAGUCCUGGGUUUCUCACUCUCCCUACUUAGGUGCCUCCCUUCCUCUUCCCUCAUUUUGCUAACUAAGGUUUCUUGCCACUGCAGGAUUAGAGCUCACAGAGGGAAAGAGGUGCAGGAGAUAAGAAAACUCUUACUUGACAAGGGCUAUUGGUGAUCUGGUGUUUACACCUCAAGGUUUGGCAUAUGCUCAAAGCUGGCCCUUUUUCUAGCAGGUGCUUCUUUGGGGUUUUCUUCUCUCUCUCUCUCUUUCUCUCUCUCUCUCUCUCUCUCUCUGUCUCUCCCUCUCUUUCUCUUUCUCAAAGCUUCCCUGGCAUGCAGACAUGCCCUUGUGUCCUGCUUCUCUGUGACUGCUGCCACAGCCCCUAGGAGUCAUUCAGUGGUAUACCCCUUGUUCCUUUUUGCAUGACACCUUUUUUUCUUGUGAGUGACCCCUUGAACAGGGCUUAAGACAGCUUUCUGUCUUGUAUGGCUCAGAUCUAUCCAAGGGAAUUACUUUGCCUCCCCAAACUCAAAGGUUAGAUGGUUACAUUUUAAACUCUCUCGGUGGUUCUCUGAAUCUCCUUGUCUCAGGCUUGAGGUGAGAAGCAGACAGCCUCUAUAGCAUGCUGAUAACUUUCUCCAAAGACCUUCUCUUUGUCUUCAAGAAUCUUCAACUCUUUUAUACCUUCAACAUAAGUAUAUGGUUGUAAGAAUUAUGUAACUAUUUCUGCCCCCCUUCCUUUGGAAAACUUGCAUUAUACUGCUAUAUUUCACUUUGGAAUAUGUUUCUAGUGUUUGGGUACCUUAGGCAAAAUAUACUCAUUUUUUUUUUCCUUUUUCUUUUUGAGAGACAGGUCUCACUAGUCACCCAGGCUGGAGUGCAGUGGUACAAUGAUAGCUCACUGCAGCCUCAAACUCCUUGGCUCAAGUGAUCCUCCUGCCUCAGCCUCCUGAGUACCUGGGACUACAGGCACACACCCCCACACCUGGCUAAUGAAAUUUUUUUGUUUUGUUUUGUUUUGUUUUGUUUUGUUUAAAGGCUGGUCUUUAACUUCUGGCCUCAAGGGAUCCUGCUGUUCUGGUUUCCCAAAACACUGGGAUUGUAGACCUGAGCUACUGCACUGCAAUGGCCAAAAUGUGGUCUAUAGCGCCAUAUUAAAGGUAAAAGGGGGAAUAAAUCACUUUGUGGAUGCCCUGACUUUACAGACCAUCAUCGUGUAGGAGGUGAGGCUGCUGAGGAGAAGAUGCUUUACACACGCAAGGGUUGUAAUAAUGACUUUCAAGGUACUCAGUCUAAUCACAAAAUAGAGCUUUAAAGGUGAAUUAUUUUUGAAAUGUUCAUAUUUAGUAUUUUCCUCAUAGGCAGAAUUUUGAAAGAGUGCGUAUCUGAGGCCUGACAUAUUGUUUUGGGAGCUAAAAUGUGUUUAAAAUGUAACGUUCAGAGGAAGUUAACUGCUAACUUUUCUCAGUUGUAAGAUGAUUCCAGAUUCCCAUGUAUAUAAAAUACAUCAGUCUUAAGACAAAUUAAACAAAAUGUAUUAUGUAUUUUCUUUAAAUUAUUAUUUUUUGCACUUCAGGCAUAAAUAUUUUUAAAUAUGAAAACUCCACAUAAACAUAUGCGUACAACUCUGAGCUCAUGUCAAAAAUGUCUGCGACUGCCUCAUCAUAGUUUUGGAAAUAAACAUCUUUAUUAAAAGACAUUCAACAAACUUAAAAUUUUUUUUAAGGGGGAGGAUGGAAUCAAGGUUAACAGAAGGAAGUGCCUUUAAUUUUUGUAUACUUUUGUAAUUUGUUUUACCCCUGGAAAUUAG